GCUCCCUCCGCCGCCCACUCCAGACUCCUACACGAGGCGAGCAGUCGGGGAAGGUAAGUUUAGGGUAACCGUAAAUUACGGGGACCGGCGAAGACCUCGAUCCAGCCAUGCCGCCGGUCGGGUGGAGUGAGGGGCCCGUUACGGGGUUUCGGUUAAAAGGACCCCGUUUUACCGGCCGGGGAACGGAGUAAUGACGGUACCCGCCACGAAGAAGACCCCGGCUAACCUUCGUGCCAGCAGCCGCGGUAAUUC
rnacentral:rRNA from 1 species